rnacentral:lncRNA from 1 species
CCAUGAGAACCUUGAUUUGUAAUAACAGCUCUUCCCCCACCCCAGGCUGUUCCCUAGCUGGGAUUUCAUUUCCCCAUGGCACAGACUAAUAAUUAAGAGGCCUUGGAAGAGCAGGGAGGGAGGGGUCAGGUUUCCCCCCCAUCAAGCAGAGGGGGCGGAUGACGGAGGCCGGAUGGUUUAUAGGGAGCUGGAGGUCGGGAAGCUGCAUCCCAGCUGCAGAGAUUGCUUAAUUCCAGCUGCAGUGAGUGGGGCUGGGCUGGUGUUCGGGGCUCAGUGGGGCUGGGGUGGCGUGUGGAGGCAGUGGGACUGGAGCAGUGUGCAAAGAGGGGAAUGGGGGCUUGUUGGCCAGGAUGGGGGACCUGGGACACGCCAAGCCCAGUGACCAUGCGGCCUGCAGUGUCCAUCGCACUGAUCCUCGUGGCUCUGACGGUCCUGGCAGACUCUGCUCAGGCUCAACCCACAGAGCCAACCCUGACCAAAAAGUUGGAGAACUUCCAGAACAAGCUGCAGGCCUUUGCUGACAGCAUUGCAGAUAAAACCAAAGCCGCCUUCCAAGAACUGCAUCACAGCGAGUUCAGCGAAAAGACCCGGUUUCCGUGCCUUGCUCGAGUCUCAGGAAGGAGCCACGCUCUCUACGACAGCAAGGAUGGGGCGGAUGGAUCUGAAAAUUGCAGUGGCCUUCGUCCUGCUGCUGUUUCUCUGCACUGA